rnacentral:lncRNA from 1 species
GAAAUAAUGAACUCCUCCAAGGCAAGAAAUCUGUUUUGAAGCUUCUCUGCGUUCACACACAGCAGCCUGGUUUCCUGGAAGGGCAUUUUCCACAUUGUGCGUUAUGGAUGAUCAUCCCAGGCAUCAGGUGUGAAGCCCUGCAUCCACAUCCAGGGGCUAUCAAAUCUCUCUGCAAAAGGAGAAGCUGGACUCAGGCACGUUUACAGUGAUGUGUAUGCAGGGUAUGCACAGAUGUGGAAACAGGAACUGAUGUGUCCAUUACACCACUAGGACAGAGGCCAGAACAAUGAAGAAACCAAAUACUUGGAAGAGGGUAGAGAUAAUGAAUGGAGUCCAAGAGCCCUGAUUGUGCCAUAAAUGUCCAGAUAAUUCCAUACCUGAGGAUUAUGUGG